CAAGUGCUGGAGGAGCUUGGGUUCUCUCUCUCUCCUGUCAUAUAUCCUGGUCUAACAUGUGCAAAGUUCUUGUGUUCAUUUACAGUGUUAAGACAUAGCUAUAUAAAUUAUGACAGGGGAAGCAAGUAAAGCUAAACCUAAGCAUCUGGUGCACUGGUUUAGGAAAGGACUUCGUCUGCACGAUAAUCCUGCUCUCCGAGCGGGCCUCAAAAAUGCUGCAACGUUCAGAUGUAUCUUUAUAUUGGAUCCGUGGUUUGCCGGGUCGUCCAAUGUUGGCAUCAACAAGUGGAGGUUCCUGCUACAAAGUCUUGAGGACCUUGAUAGUUCGCUUCGGAAACUUAAUUCUCGCCUGUUCGUCAUCCGCGGCCAACCAGCGCACGUCCUUCCUGAGCUUUUUAGAGAGUGGGGCACAACAUGUUUAACUUUCGAAAAAGAUCCCGAGCCAUUUGGCAAAGCACGUGAUGCAAAUAUUGUGGCCAUUGCCCGUGAGAUGGGCAUCAACGUUAUUGUUAAGACCUCUCAUACACUCUACAAACCAGAAAAAAUUAUCGACAAAAAUGGCGGCAAACCACCUCUUACGUACAAAUCAUUCCAAAAUAUCUUAAUGAGUAUGGAUCUGCCACCUCUGCCUCAAAGCACAAUUACUCUUAAAGACCUGGAGGAUAAAUAUACUCCUUUAUCUGAUGACCAUGAAGAGAAAUAUGGAGUUCCCACUCUGGAAGAGCUGGGUUUUGACACAGACUCGUUAAAUCAAACCGGUUGGAAGGGAGGCGAGAAUGAAGCCCUGACCAGGCUAGAGCAUCAUCUAGAGCGCAAAGCUUGGGUUGCCUCGUUUGGACGACCCAAGAUGACUCCACAGUCUUUGUAUCCAUCCCGCACUGGACUAUCGCCAUACCUUAGAUUUGGUUGUCUAUCUUGUAGAAGAUUUUUUUCCGAGCUUAAUGACUUGUAUAGAAAGAUUAGAAAGUCUCCUCCGCCACUGUCCCUGCAUGGUCAGUUGUUGUGGCGAGAAUUCUACUACACUGCAGCAACCAACAACCCAAAGUUUGACCAUAUGGAAGGAAACCCCAUAUGUGUUCAGAUACCUUGGGAUAAGAAUCCAGAAGCUCUUGCAAAAUGGGCCAAUGGUCAAACAGGAUAUCCCUGGGUGGAUGCCAUCAUGACUCAGCUGCGGAAAGAGGGGUGGAUCCACAACGUGGCUCGGCAUGCUGUUGCUUGCUUCCUGACUCGGGGCGAUUUGUGGGUGUCUUGGGAAGAGGGUAUGAAGGUUUUUGAUGAAUUACUAUUGGAUGCAGACUGGUCUGUAAAUGCUGGGUCCUGGAUGUGGCUCUCAUGUUCUUCAUUUUUCCAGCAGUUUUUCCACUGUUACUGUCCUGUACGGUACGGUAGAAAAGCAGAUCCAAAUGGCGACUAUAUAAGAACAUAUUUGCCUGUGCUUAAGAACUUCCCUACAAAAUAUAUUCAUGAGCCCUGGACUGCACCUGAGUCAGUGCAACGAGCUGCGAAAUGUGUUGUUGGAGGUGACUAUCCGAUGCCUAUGGUGGAUCACAUCAAGCAGAGCCAGAACAAUAUUGAAAGGAUGAAGCAGGUGUACCAACAACUUGCUCACUACAGAGGAAAAAUUAAUCCUGCUAUAAAGUCUCCUACUGUGGACCACUACCCAUCACCUCCACCUGAGUACGAGAAGAAAAGAAGCAACAAGACUGGCAAAAGUGAUAUCCAGCGUGAUUCUAGCUAUAGAGUUCAAGUGCAGGCCUGACUCAAAUGUGCCUCGGAUGAUCAUGAAUGCUAAGCUGCAAGUGCAGCAUUCCAACUCUUCUCGACAGAACCUAGAAAGGAAGUGCAAAUCAUCUUAGUGGCAGUGUCUGCAAGUUCACUCAGGGUAACUUCAAUAUGGCUAGGAACCCAUCAAAAUUUGAGGGUCGCAUAUUUGUCAGAGAGAUAAGAAAUGGCCAACAUUAGAUUUCGACCACCACAAGAUGCAAAGGGUUAAGACUGCAGAGCGAUGAGGUCACUGAGGGUUAACCACAAAUGAAAAUAAUAUUUAUGCAGAGAAAACAGCUGACAGAGCAUACAAAGUUGCAAGAAGUUGCUAGUCUCCAGGGGCAGGUGACACACAGGUUUUUAAUGAAACUGAUGGUAUAGCCAACACCAUCGAUAAACUUAUACCCAUCUGUGAACAGAGCAGUGGAGUAGGAAACAAAAAAGAAUAGCUAGAAUUGCAAGUAUGUAGUGAUAAAGCUCCAUGGUAUUGUGCCAGAAACUUUGGCAGUGUUGGGUUUGUGGAAAGUCAUCCUGCAUAGUCUAGGGAGUUUCUUCCUCAACAUGCAGAAGUCUGAAUAAGACAUUUGUGUAUUCUCUGGGGUGCAUAAUAAACAUAUGCUGGUAGCAACAGUGUAAUCUCACAUUUUGUUUUGGCAGUUGGCACAUUUACAAAAAUAAAAAGCAUCCCAGUAUUAGUGCUGAUUGACUAUUGUACCUGAUUCACCAUUUCUUCACUGUCAAAAAUUUUGAUUUAGAACAUCCCAUUUAUAGCUGUUUGGUUGCAAGGUAAAGGAAAAAAACAUUAAAUUAGCUAAGAACUGGGCAUUUUACAUGUAAGCUUCUGAAGCUUAUUUGAAAUUCAUCCUUCCUGUAUAGUUUUUAUUGUUACCCAAACUUAAAAAUUUAGUAAAAGUACAUUAAUUAUCCCAAUAAGUGUAAUACAAUCACUACAAGGCAUUCUUAAAGAGGAAUUUAUAAGACGCUUCCAAAAGUUUUAGGAACAAUGAAAGGAGGAUUUAAAUUUGUGGAAUGUCUUUGAAGACAUUCCAAAAAUUUCUUCUCCCCUCCCCCCCCCCCCCAGUAGUUAAUUCCUGGAUCUUGAGCUUCAAACACACAAAUCGUGUCUUAAAUUUGUGCAUUAUACCUCAUAAAUUUAGAUGUAUAAAUUGCCUUACAUGCUAUGUCAACUGCAUAUUUCUAUAUUUUUACUGGCAGAUGAUCUUUUGUACACACAUUAAAAUGUAUAUAUAUGUAUAUAUUGUGGACAAUCUUUUCCUUCACAGCAUCAGGAUGUGUGCUAAAGCCUCACCAAGCAUGUAGAUUGAAAAGGAAACACUGAAUAUUGAAAAUGAAGGGAGUCUUUUAAUCAAUAUAUAUUAGUAUAUUGGUCUCGGAUGCAUUUUAAUACAGUAUUUUAUUUUACUUCUUGGGGGGGGGGGGGGGGGAAUUAAACGUGAAUGAAAUGUUAAAAGAAUAUGGAAAAUAUUUGUUUGUUAUAACAUAAAUAUAGCAAGAACUUCCUAAAAGUAAAUGCAAUAAAAUUAAAAAGAUGACAGUUAACCUUGCCACUAGUAUAUUGUACUCAACUGCUGCCUGUGAUCAUAUACAAAUUAAAAAAUAUAUAUAGUGUAUAUAUAUAUAAGCAUUAAAAUUGUUAAAUUAUAGUAUAGCAAAAUCUUGACAUGUCUUAAAGUUGUUGAUUCUAUGUGAUGCUUUCAUCCAUCCAUGCCAGCACAGUUACAAACACAAUUGGCAAAGCACAUACAGCAACUAUGUUUCAGAAGUGCUUAGCAAAGUCGGUACAAAAAGCUGGAGAUAAUCUAUUGCAAGAGUUGGAAGAUAAAAAUUAUAAACAUGAUUGAUUCCUACAUAAAUUUACUAAUGGUUGACAAUACAGGUAAUCAUGUGGAUGAUGAUAUAUGACCAAAAUAAGAUUUAUUAGAUAUUGCACAUUAGUUUGAAAAAUCUUUGUAAUGUUCAUUACUUUUUGUCAUAAAAGGACUGAAUGGUGAAGUGCUAAGUGGUGGUUCUGUUUAAAUACCUGAAAUGAGAUAAAAAGAUGAAUUUGUGCAAAUUGAAAUUAAGGUUAGGGUGUGGAAAGUGGCUAGUGCUAUGAAAGCCUUAGUUACAAUAAACAACAUAGGAACAGAUGCAGUCUGAGAGCUGCAUAAAGCAGUACUAGUGCUGACCCCUUGUUCAUGGAUGUAAAACUGAUGCUCCACAAAAUGUGAAUAACAAAAAAAAAUAGCAGUAAAAUGAACAACCCGAGAAGUAUGUGUGAUGUUCAGAUUGGAUACAAAUAUUGAAAAAUGUCAUAAGAUAUGAAUAAAAUAAGAAAAUGUCAUAUGUUUUUGUAAUUUACAGUGAUUGACUUUGAGAGACCUUACAUUUUUUUUAGUGGUCAAAAAUCUGUAUAAACUCUUAAUGUAAAUAUGUUCUCAAUAAAGAAUUCUUUAAUUAAA
rnacentral:misc_RNA from 1 species